GCCUCGUCCAGCCCCUUCCGCGAGGGGGAGGCGGGGCCUUCAGAGAAAAGAUCGCCCGAGUACGCUGAGGUUUGGACGUUUGGACUUUUGUUGUAAUGCUACGUCCAUCAGACAUUAUGUGGAAGGGAAAGAAAAGAUGCCAACCUUAAUGAGCUCCUACUGUGUGCCAGGCAUUUUACAGACAUCAUUUCUUUACAGCCCUUUGAGGCCUUCAGUACAAUCUGUUAACAGCUACGGGCUUGUGUUAGCACUACAGCGGGCAAAUGACUCAGCACCUCUAGACGGCCGCUUCUUCAUUUGGAAAAUGACCUAUGAAAUAAUCUCCUCCAGAGGUCUGCCUAUGGCACUACUAAAGUCUUCUUCAGGACAGGAAACGUGUUUCUGUUCCUCUUUGUAUCCACCGCACCUAGCUACAAUGCCUGGUACGUUAUAAUCAGUGUUGCUCAUUGAAUGAAUGAGUGAAUCAACUAGAAAAAAAUAAAGCCAG